UGGGGAAUAUUGGGCAAUGGGCGAAAGCCUGACCCAGCGACGCCGCGUGAAGGAUGAAGGUCUUCGGAUUGUAAACUUCUUUGAUCAGGGAAGAAAGAAAUGACGGUACCUGAAAAACAAGCCACGGCUAACUACGUGCCAGCAGCCGCGGUAAUACGUAGGUGGCAAGCGUUGUCCGGAUUUACUGGGUGUAAAGGGCGUGUAGGCGGGGAUGCAAGUCAGAUGUGAAAUCCCGCGGCUCAACCGCGGAACUGCAUCUGAAACUGCGUCUCUUGAGUGUCGGAGGGGAAAGUGGAAUUCCUAGUGUAGCGGUGAAAUGCGUAGAUAUUAGGAGGAACACCGGUGGCGAAGGCGACUUUCUGGACGAUAACUGACGCUGAUACGCGAAAGCGUGGGGAGCAAACAGG
rnacentral:rRNA from 2 species